AUACAGAGGGUGCAAGCGUUAUUCGGAAUUACUGGGCGUAAAGCGCGCGUAGGCGGAUGAUUAAGUCAGUUGUGAAAGCCCUGGGCUCAACCUAGGAACUGCAUCUGAUACUGGUCGUCUAGAGUUUAAGAGAGGGAAGUGGAAUUCCAGGUGUAGCAGUGAAAUGCGUAGAUAUCUGGAGGAACAUCAGUGGCGAAGGCGACUUCCUGGCUUAAAACUGACGCUGAGGUGCGAAAGCGUGGGUAGCGAACGGGAUUAGAAACCCCGUAGUCC
rnacentral:rRNA from 1 species